rnacentral:piRNA from 1 species
ACCACAGACAGGUAUCCUGUGG